rnacentral:misc_RNA from 1 species
GUGAAUCAUCGAAUUUUUGAGCGCAAAUUGCACUCUCCUCGGAUAGUAUGCCUGUUUGAGUUUCAGCCUAUAAAAAAUCGACAUCGUUGCUGUUUCGCGGUGGCGUUCGUCGGACAUUGUGUCAGCUUAAAUCCUUUUAAUUUAAGCGACUUAAAAUUUUCUUUUGAUUCCAUGAACGUUUCUAAGAUCUAUUGCGUUACACGGUUAAGGUAU